AUGUCCAUGGAACACGGGUGACAAUGUCCGUGGAACACGGGUGGCAAUGUCCAUGGAGCACGAGUGGCAAUGUCCGUGGAACACAGGUGGCAGUGUCCUUGUGUCCCAAAGCAUUCCCAGCUUUUCCCGGAGGAACAGGAGCCCUGAGCAGUUCACUGGGGCCAUCUGGCUCUUUUGUGCCCGGGAGGAAGAUUUAGAAAGAAUAAAGAAGAGUUGCUGCCUGUUGUCUCAUUGAAUGACUUUGGCCAAAGGAUCACCCUUCAAGGAAUUUUGGGGCUGUCCAGGUUGGAAGAUGGAGCAGUGUCAAACUCCACAAAUGACCAAAUAACAAAUGAAGAGCUGGGAAGCUGAGCAGAGGGAAGGCUGGCUGCUUAAUGAGAAUGAUUUCCCUAUUUUAACUACCAUUUACUCUCAAAUAUUUAAGGUUUAAGCACGCAGUUUAAUGAGAUCUCAGCAUUAGACAAGGGCAAAAUAGCUCAGCUCCCAUCUGCAGUUUUACA